UAAAAGUCGUAACAAGGUUUCCGUAGGUGAACCUGCGGAAGGAUCAUUACCGCUAUAAUCCAUACCCACACUUUGUGAACCGAUGACCGUCCACUCUUUUUCUCUUACCGUCCCGCUCCCCCGGGAGCGAGCGGUAGCAACCCCCAAACCACCCACCACCAAAUGCGCAAAACUCUGUUGCGAGCCUCCUCCGGGCGGCGAGCACGCAGUUUUUUUACUAACGUAAAAGCCAUACAACUUCUAACAACGGAUAUCUUGGCUCGCGCAACGAUGAAGAACGCAGCGAAAUGCGAUACGUAGUGCGAAUUGCAGAAUUCAGAGAAUCAUCGAGACUUUGAACGCAUAUUACGCCUCCAGGUUCUCCUGGAAGCAUGUCUGUUUGAGUGUCAGCACACCAUCUCACCCCGACCCGCCCGCGGGACGGCCGGUGGAGCGUGGGCGUCUCGGGCCAGUUCCGAGUCGCCUGAAGUGCAGAGGCACGGCGCGCAGAGCCCGUUCUAACGUCCAACGUGUUAAGGAAGGCGCACUCCGGUGCGCUGCCCGCCAAUCCGUUGCGACUAGGGCUCCGCGAGUUGCGGUGCCGCAAUCGUGUUUGUGAAUUCGCAACACACCCUUACCACCAUUGACCUCAAAUCAGGCAAGGCUACCCGCUGAAUUUAAGCAUAUCAAUA
rnacentral:rRNA from 1 species